rnacentral:rRNA from 1 species
UACGGAGGGUGCAAGCGUUAAUCGGAAUUACUGGGCGUAAAGCGCACGCAGGCGGUCUGUUAAGUCAGAUGUGAAAUCCCCGGGCUCAACCUGGGAACUGCAUUCAAAACUGACAAGCUAGAGUAUGGUAGAGGGUGGUGGAAUUUCCUGUGUAGCGGUGAAAUGCGUAGAUAUAGGAAGGAACACCAGUGGCGAAGGCGACCACCUGGACUGAUACUGACACUGAGGUGCGAAAGCGUGGGGAGCAAACAGG